rnacentral:tRNA from 1 species
GCCCGUCUAGCUCAGUCGAGCGCAAGACUCUUAAUCUUGUGGUCGUGGGUUCAUGCCCCACGGUGGGCG